AGAGUUUGAUCAUGGCUCAGAGCGAACGUUAGCGGCGGGCCUAACACAUGCAAGUCGAACGAGAAAAUCCCUUCGGGGGUGAGUACAGUGGCGCACGGGUGAGGAACGCGUAGGUAAUCUACCCUCUGGCGGGGGACAACACUCCGAAAGGAAUGCUAAUACCGCGUAAGACCACACUUACUAAGGUGAGAGUGGUUAAAGGUGGCCUCUUCUUGAAAGCUACCACCAGAGGGUGAGCCUGCGUCCCAUCAGCUUGUUGGUAAGGUAAUGGCUUACCAAGGCGAAGACGGGUAGCUGGUCUGAGAGGAUGAUCAGCCACACUGGCACUGGAACACGGGCCAGACUCCUACGGGAGGCAGCAGUGAGGAAUAUUGGGCAAUGGGCGCAAGCCUGACCCAGCCACGCCGCGUGUGUGAUGAAGGCCUUCGGGUCGUAAAGCACUGUGGGGAGAGACGAAAAAUCUCCGUUCGAAUAGGGCGGAGACUUGACGGUACCUCCUUAGCAAGCACCGGCUAACUCUGUGCCAGCAGCUGCGGUAAUACAGAGGGUGCAAACGUUGCUCGGAUUUACUGGGCGUAAAGCGCGUGUAGGCGGACUCGCAAGUCGGUUGUGAAAUCCCUGGGCUCAACCUAGGAACUGCAUCCGAAACUGCUUGUCUUGAGUAAUGGAGAGGGUGGCGGAAUUCCCGGUGUAGAGGUGAAAUUCGUAGAUAUCGGGAGGAACAUCAGUGGCGAAGGCGGCCACCUGGACAUUUACUGACGCUGAGACGCGAAAGCGUGGGGGAGCAAACAGGAUUAGAUACCCUGGUAGUCCACGCCGUAAACGAUGAGAACUAGGUGCAGCGGAUAUUGACCUCUGCUGUGCCGUAGCUAACGCGUUAAGUUCUCCGCCUGGGGAGUACGGCCGCAGGGCUAAAACUCAAAGGAAUUGACGGGGGCCCGCACAAGCAGUGGAGCAUGGUGGUUUAAAUCGAAGCAACGCGCAGAACCCUUA
rnacentral:rRNA from 1 species